rnacentral:rRNA from 1 species
UACGGGGGGGGCAAGCGUUGUUCGGAAUUACUGGGCGUAAAGGGCUCGUAGGUGGCCAACUAAGUCAGACGUGAAAUCCCUCGGCUUAACUGGGGAACUGCGUCUGAUACUGGAUGGCUUGAGUUUGGGAGAGGGAUGCGGAAUUCCAGGUGUAGCGGUGAAAUGCGUAGAUAUCUGGAGGAACACCGGUGGCGAAGGCGGCAUCCUGGACCAAUACUGACACUGAGGAGCGAAAGCCAGGGGAGCAAACGGG